GCUGUGGCUGUGCUGUAGGCUGGCAGCUGUAGCUCUGAUUCGACCCCUAGCCUGGGAAUCUCCAUAAGCCUUGGGUACAGCCCUUAAAAAAAAAAAAAAGUAACAACAACAAAAAACUCUGGACUUCAAUUCCAGACUCACGUAAAUCUGAUGCAUGCCAUGAUGAGGAAGACAAAGAUGGGAGACUAAGUGCUGUGACAAUAUAAACAAUUUAUAUGUAAUCCAGAAGUAUGAGCAAUAGAUUCAUUUCUUCACUUAGUCAUCCAUUCAAUAAGUAUUCAUAGAGCUCCUGGUCAGAGGGCACUACAUCACUCCAGGCCAUGCCAGGCACAGAUGUUUCCAUGCUCUGAGCAGAGCUCUUAAGGAGCAAGUGACCGGCCCUGACUUCAAGCAGCUCAGUGUGUCGGGAGAAAGGCACCAGAGGUCAGGCAGUUGCCGUACAGAGUAGAAAGCCUAAGAUGGAAUAACUAGCACCGGCAAACCUGCAAGCUCAGGGAUGGGACACUUAUCCUAUCUUUGGGGGACAGAGGGCAGCUUCUUGGAAAAGGCUGCAUCCUCCUCAGGUGCAGACAGGAUGUCACCAGGCUAAGAAGACGAGGGUGAACAGUCAGGGUGAAGAUGCAGUACAUGCACAUGCAAAGGAGUGAGGGAGAGACAGUGGGUACACAGAAGCCACUUAGAGCAACUUAGAAAGUAGAGGAAAGAAGAAAGUUGCCCCCCAAAAGGAAAGGAGGCAAGCGGGGAAGGGAAGGAGGGAGGGAGAGCGAAAAGAAGGGGUGAGCUGUGAGAUGGAAAGGAGAUGAGAGAGUGUGGCCAGGGCUCAGAGUUGCCUUGAUUCUCACCUUCCCCUGGCCUGGUAAUCAGAUUCCCAGGGAUGUCACCAUGUGUCUUUUUCUGCAUUUGGCAUGUGUCCGCACUGUUUCUUAUAAUCAAAGUAAUUCUCACCAUAUCAUCCAGGUUUUCUUGAUAUUCAGCAGACUGAAAUGCAGGUAGGUUUUUGUUUUUUUUUUCCCCCCCUUUUUUUAAGCAUGCAGCUAACAAGCAUGUUUAAAAGAGUAGGAGGGCUAGAGGUGGAAUCCACUAGUUUUGCUACUUUUUUUACAUACUUUCCAUUAAACACUCCUGCUACUUCCUGGCUUCAGUCUGUCCACUUGAAGAAAUGCUUGCUCUAAAGUCCUAUUCUAAUCUUCAGGCUCCCCUGCCAGGCAUCCACCCAUGGGAUAAUUAGGGGAAAUACUGGUUGCUGACUUUUCAAAACCAGAUUUCAACUUAAUGAUCAACAUACUCUAGUGGGAAAGGUGCUACAAAGGAAGUUCAAAAAAAAUAAAUAACAAAACACGUGUCACGUCUUUCUAUACACCAACUCUUUUUAACUUUAUAAUUCCUAUACUUAAACAAAAAACCAGUUCAAUGAAUAAUAACUGCCUAACAACAAUAACAAAAAUAGCUUAACCUUAUUUUGGAGGAUUCAUUCUUUUCUCUCCACUUUACCACUUCCUACUCAAUCAUCGUCUAUUAACUUUUUCACACCACACUCAGAAACCGAUAACACAAAGUUACUGAACAUAAACAUUUCUAGCCUACCUCUUUCUUACAGUUUUGUUCCUCAUUUUUCUUCUCACUUCCCCUUAAGGAGAAUUUUUCUCUCGUUCCUAAAUGGGCUCAUGCCCAUAAUUAGUCCCAAGAAAACUUUCAAACGUUUUCUCAUGCAAAAUGCCUUGAGGGCUCUGAUCCCAAUACAAUGAUCUCCAAAUACACAGUGGCUAUUUUUGAAAGAAAAAAAAAA
ensembl:lncRNA